CAGCCAUAUCAUGUUGAAACACCAGUUCUUGUCUGAUCACCAAAGUAAAGCAAUAUUGAGUCAGGUCAGUACUUAGAUGUGUCCACUUGGGGGUACCAGCUGCUGUAAG